rnacentral:tRNA from 1 species
GGCCCCGUAGCUCAGCCAGGAUAGAGCGGCGGCCUCCUAAGCCGUAGGUCGUGGGUUCGAAUCCCACCGGGGCCG